rnacentral:miRNA from 1 species
UCCACUGCUUAAAAUCGGGAGGGGAGCUGGAAAUGGAGGUGCCCUCCUAUAAUUCCAGCUAUGUGGGAGGCCGAGGCAGGAGGAU